GUCAUCAUAGUUUCUCUCAUCUCCGGUACGACUUUAGAAUUACACAACCAGUAAAAGAUCAGCCACACACACACACACACACACACACACACACACACACACACACACACACACACCUCCCCCCAAUGGAAAACGCCUCUUUCCCCUCAGCAGCAGUAACUGUGACCUCCUCUCAGGCAGCUGUGGGCUGUCAGUGGAAAUCAUUUUAAGAUUUAAAGUAGAAAGUAAACACAUGAAUAAGACUUUCAUCUUUUUAUUUUCUAUUUCAUUUUAAAAACUCGCUUUUAUUAAUGAAACUUCUCCAAAAAGCCUUUUUCAUAACUCAAACAAGCAUGUGUGUCUUUAAUAUGAGUUCAGAAGAGUCAAGUUGUUUUUUACUUUCAUCAUAUUGAAAACAUUACAAACCGCAAUGAAGGUUAAUAUUGAAUUUAAAUGUAAGUUUAAUUUAACAAUUGUUGAUGAAGGUCAAGCUCAGUUAGAUGUCACUCUUGAUGAACGUAUGAUUCCUCUCAGUGUCUCAUAUUACUAAUAAAUAAAUCAUCUCACUGUAAGAGUUUCACAGGGAAGAGAAGAUGAAAUACGGCGUUUUGGUGAAUUUUGUGCCACACUGGUGAGAAACAAAGGUGGAAUCAUUGAGCUGCAUCACUCACUAACUACUGCUCUGUGUAUGAGGAAGAGGAGCUCUGUGUAUGAGGAAGAGGAGCUCUGUGUAUGAGGAAGAGGAGCUCCGUGUAUGAGGAAGAGGAGCUCUGUGUAUGAGGAAGAUCAGCUCUGUGUAUGAGGAAGAGGAGCUCUGUGUAUGAGGAAGAUCAGCUCCGUGUAUGAGGAAGAGGAGCUCUGUGUAUGAGGAAGAGGAGCUCUGUGUAUGAGGAAGAGGAGCUCUGUGUAUGAGGAAGAUCAGCUCUGUGUAUGAGGAAGAGGAGCUCUGUGUAUGAGGAAGAUCAGCUCUGUGUAUGAGGAAGAGGAGCUCUGUGUAUGAGGAAGAGGAGCUCUGUGUAUGAGGAAGAGGAGCUCUGUGUAUGAGGAAGAUCAGCUCUGUGUAUGAGGAAGAUCAGCUCCGUGUAUGAGGAAGAGGAGCUCUGUGUAUGAGGAAGAGGAGCUCUGUGUAUGAGGAAGAGGAGCUCUGUGUGUGAGGAAGAGGAGCUCCGUGUAUGAGGAAGAGGAG
ensembl:lncRNA